UACCUUUGCUCAUUGACGUUACNNNNNNNNNNAGGCCUAACACAUGCAAGUCGAACGGUAACAGGAAGCAGCUUGCUGCUUCGCUGACGAGUGGCGGACGGGUGAGUAAUGUCUGGGAAACUGCCUGAUGGAGGGGGAUAACUACUGGAAACGGUAGCUAAUACCGCAUAAUGUCGCAAGACCAAAGAGGGGGACCUUCGGGCCUCUUACCAUCGGAUGUGCCCAGAUGGGAUUAGCUUGUUGGUGGGGUAACGGCUCACCAAGGCGACGAUCCCUAGCUGGUCUGAGAGGAUGACCAGCCACACUGGAACUGAGACACGGUCCAGACUCCUACGGGAGGCAGCAGUGGGGAAUAUUGCACAAUGGGCGCAAGCCUGAUGCAGCCAUGCCGCGUGUAUGAAGAAGGCCUUCGGGUUGUAAAGUACUUUCAGCGGGGAGGAAGGGAGUAAAGUUAAUACCUUUGCUCAUUGACGUUAUCCGCAGAAGAAGCACCGGCUAACUCCGUGCCAGCAGCCGCGGUAAUACGGAGGGUGCAAGCGUUAAUCGGAAUUACUGGGCGUAAAGCGCACGCAGGCGGUUUGUUAAGUCAGAUGUGAAAUCCCCGGGCUCAACCUGGGAACUGCAUCUGAUACUGGCAAGCUUGAGUCUCGUAGAGGGGGGUAGAAUUCCAGGUGUAGCGGUGAAAUGCGUAGAGAUCUGGAGGAAUACCGGUGGCGAAGGCGGCCCCCUGGACGAAGACUGACGCUCAGGUGCGAAAGCGUGGGGAGCAAACAGGAUUAGAUACCCUGGUAGUCCACGCCGUAAACGAUGUCGACUUGGAGGUUGUGCCCUUGAGGCGUGGCUUCCGGAGCUAACGCGUUAAGUCGACCGCCUGGGGAGUACGGCCGCAAGGUUAAAACUCAAAUGAAUUGACGGGGGCCCGCACAAGCGGUGGAGCAUGUGGUUUAAUUCGAUGCAACGCGAAGAACCUUACCUGGUCUUGACAUCCACGGAAGUUUUCAGAGAUGAGAAUGUGCCUUCGGGAACCGUGAGACAGGUGCUGCAUGGCUGUCGUCAGCUCGUGUUGUGAAAUGUUGGGUUAAGUCCCGCAACGAGCGCAACCCUUAUCCUUUGUUGCCAGCGGUCCGGCCGGGAACUCAAAGGAGACUGCCAGUGAUAAACUGGAGGAAGGUGGGGAUGACGUCAAGUCAUCAUGGCCCUUACGACCAGGGCUACACACGUGCUACAAUGGCGCAUACAAAGAGAAGCGACCUCGCANNNNNNNNNNAAGUCCCGCAACGAGCGCAACCCUUAUCCUUUGUUGCCAGCGGUCCGGCCGGGAACUCAAAGGAGACUGCCAGUGAUAAACUGGAGGAAGGUGGGGAUGACGUCAAGUCAUCAUGGCCCUUACGACCAGGGCUACACACGUGCUACAAUGGCGCAUACAAAGAGAAGCGACCUCGCGAGAGCAAGCGGACCUCAUAAAGUGCGUCGUAGUCCGGAUUGGAGUCUGCAACUCGACUCCAUGAAGUCGGAAUCGCUAGUAAUCGUGGAUCAGAAUGCCACGGUGAAUACGUUCCCGGGCCUUGUACACACCGCCCGUCACACCAUGGGAGUGGGUUGCAAAAGAAGUAGGUAGCUUAACCUUCGGGAGGGCGCUUACCACUUUGUGAUUCAUGACUGGGGUGAAGUCGUAACAAGGUAACCGUAGGGGAACCUGCGGUUG
rnacentral:rRNA from 1 species